GACGAACGCUGGCGGCGUGCUUAACACAUGCAAGUCGAACGGAAAGGCCCUGCUUUUGUGGGGUGCUCGAGUGGCGAACGGGUGAGUAACACGUGAGUAACCUGCCCUUGACUUUGGGAUAACUUCAGGAAACUGGGGCUAAUACCGGAUAGGAGCUCCUGCUGCAUGGUGGGGGUUGGAAAUUUUCGGCGGUUGGGGAUGGACUCGCGGCUUAUCAGUUUGUUGGUGGGGUAGUGGCUUACCAAGUCUUUGACGGGUAGCCGGCCUGAGAGGGUGAACGGCCACAUUGGGACUGAGAUACGGACCAGACUACUACGGGAGACAGCAGUGGGGAAUAUUGCACAAUGGGCGGAAGCCUGAUGCAGAAGCGCCGCGUGCGGGAUGACGGCCUUCGGGUUGUAAACCGCUUUCGCCUGUGACGAAGCGGGAGUGACGGUAAUGGGUAAAGAAGCACCGGCUAACUACGUG
rnacentral:rRNA from 1 species